UGAGACGUAGCUCAGUUGGGGGAGCGAUAUGACUAUAAAGGGUCUGGAACGUACGCAGGUUCGAAUCCUGCCGUCUCAA
rnacentral:tRNA from 26 species